rnacentral:rRNA from 1 species
AUCCGAAUGGGGAAACCCACCUGCAAAGGUAUCGCAUACUGAAUACAUAGGUAUGCGAGGCGAACCGGGUGAACUGAAACAUCUCAGUAGCUCGAGGAAAAGACAUCAACCGAGAUUCCGAAAGUAGUGGCGAGCGAAAUCGGAGAAGCCUGCAAGUGAUAGCACAAGACAUAACGGAACGACUUGGAAAGGUCGACUAUAGAGGGUGAUAGUCCCGUACGUGAAAUGACCUGUGUGGUGCUGAGCUUGCGACAAGUAGGGCGGGACACGAGAAAUCCUGUCUGAAUAUGGGGGGACCAUCCUCCAAGGCUAAAUACUCAUCAUUGACCGAUAGUGAACUAGUACCGUGAGGGAAAGGCGAAAAGGACCCCGGGAGGGGAGUGAAAUAGAUCCUGAAACCGCAUGCUUACAAAAAGUAGGAGCCUGGAAACGGGUGACUGCGUACCUUUUGUAUAAUGGGUCAGCGACUUACAUUCAGUGGCAAGGUUAACCGAAUAGGGAAGCCGUAGAGAAAUCGAGUCCGAAUAGGGCGAAUAGUCGCUGGGUGUAGACCCGAAACCAAGUGAUCUAUCCAUGGCCAGGAUGAAGGUGCCGUAACAGGUACUGGAGGUCCGAACCGACUAGUGUUGCAAAACUAGCGGAUGAGCUGUGGAUAGGGGUGAAAGGCUAAACAAACUUGGAAAUAGCUGGUUCUCUCCGAAAACUAUUUAGGUAGUGCCUCAAGUAUUACCGUUGGGGGUAGAGCACUGUUUUGGCUAGGGGGUCAUGGCGACUUACCANACCAAUGCAAACUCCGAAUACCGACGAGUACAGCUUGGGAGACAGAGCACCGGGUGCUAACGUCCGGACUCAAGAGGGAAACAACCCAGACCGCCAGCUAAGGUCCCUAAAAUUGGCUAAGUGGGAAACGAAGUGGGAAGGCUAAAACAGUCAGGAUGUUGGCUUAGAAGCAGCCAUCAUUUAAAGAAAGCGUAAUAGCUCACUGAUCGAGUCGUCCUGCGCGGAAGAUGUAACGGGGCUAAGCCAGUUACCGAAGCUGCGGAUUUGCAAUUUAUUGCAAGUGGUAGGAGAGCGUUCUGUAAGCCUGUGAAGGUGGUGGUGUAAACCCUGCUGGAGGUAUCAGAAGUGCGAAUGCUGACAUGAGUAGCGUUAAAGGGGGUGAAAAGCCCCCUCGCCGUAAGCGCAAGGUUUUCUACGCAACGUUCAUCGGCGUAGAGUGAGUCGGCCCCUAAGGCGAGGCAGAGAUGCGUAGUUGAUGGGAAACAGGUCAAUAUUCCUGUACCGAUGUGUAGUGCGAUGUGGGGACGGAGAAGGUUAGCUCAGCCAACUGUUGGACAUGUUGGUUCAAGCCUGUAGUCGUGCCUGGUAGGUAAAUCCGCCGGGCUUAGAUGAGGGGUGAUAACGAGGGUGCUUGCACCCGAAGUGAGUGAUACCCUGCUUCCAGGAAAAGCCACUAAGCUUCAGCUACACACGACCGUACCGCAAACCGACACUGGUGCGCGAGAUGAGUAUUCUAAGGCGCUUGAGAGAACUCAGGAGAAGGAACUCGGCAAAUUGACACCGUAACUUCGGAAGAAAGUGUGCCUUUAGUAGGUGAAGGGAUUUACUCCCGGAGCCCAAUGAGGUUGCAAAAAAUCGGUGGCUGCGACUGUUUAUUAAAAACACAGCACUCUGCAAACACGAAAGUGGACGUAUAGGGUGUGACGCCUGCCCGGUGCUGGAAGAUUAAAUGAUGGGGUGCAAGCUCUUGAUUGAAGUCCCAGUAAACGGCGGCCGUAACUAUAACGGUCCUAAGGUAGCGAAAUUCCUUGUCGGGUAAGUUCCGACCUGCACGAAUGGCGUAACGAUGGCCACACUGCCUCCUCCUGAGACUCAGCGAAGUUGAAAUGUUUGUGAUGAUGCAAUCUCCCCGCGGAAAGACGGAAAGACCCCAUGAACCUUUACUGUAGCUUUGUAUUGGACUUUGAACAGAUCUGUGUAGGAUAGGUGGGAGGCUUUGAAGUAGGGUCGCUAGAUCUUAUGGAGCCAACGUUGAAAUACCACCCUGGUGUGUUUGAGGUUCUAACCUAGGUCCAUUAUCUGGAUCGGGGACAGUGCAUGGUAGGCAGUUUGACUGGGGGCGGUCUCCUCCCAAAGCGUAACGGAGGAGUUCGAAGGUACGCUAGUUACGGUCGGACAUCGUGACGAUAGUGCAAUGGCAUAAGCGUGCUUAACUGCGAGACUGACAAGUCGAGCAGUUGCGAAAGCAGGACAUAGUGAUCCGGUGGUUCUGUAUGGAAGGGCCAUCGCUCAACGGAUAAAAGGUACUCUGGGGAUAACAGGCUGAUACCGCCCAAGAGUUCAUAUCGACGGCGGUGUUUGGCACCUCGAUGUCGGCUCAUCUCAUCCUGGGGCUGUAGACGGUCCCAAGGGUAUGGCUGUUCGCCAUUUAAAGAGGUACGUGAGCUGGGUUUAAAACGUCGUGAGACAGUUUGGUCCCUAUCUUCCGUGGGCGCUGCAGAUUUGAGGAAGCCUGCUCCUAGUACGAGAGGACCGGAGUGGACACACCUCUGGUGUAUCGGUUGUCACGCCAGUGGCAUUGCCGAGUAGCUAAGUGUGGAGGAGAUAACCGCUGAAAAUCA